rnacentral:rRNA from 1 species
CACGUACUAUCAGAGUUUGAUCCUGGCUCAGGACGAACGCUGGCGGCGUGCUUAACACAUGCAAGUCGAACGGGGUAAGUUCCUUCGGGGAUUACUUAGUGGCGAACGGGUGAGUAACGCGUGAGGAACCUGCCUUUCAGUGGGGGACAACAGUUGGAAACGACUGCUAAUACCGCAUAACAUGUACGGACCGCAUGAUCUGUACAUCAAAGCUUUAUGUGCUGAAAGAUGGCCUCGCGUCUGAUUAGAUAGUUGGUGGGGUAACGGCCCACCAAGUCGACGAUCAGUAGCCGGACUGAGAGGUUGAACGGCCACAUUGGGACUGAGAUACGGCCCAG